rnacentral:sRNA from 1 species
CAUCGACCUGGUGGCCUUCUUGGGCUACAAAUAUGUCGGGUGAGUACCCCCGCCCUUCACGCCAGCCCCAGCCCUUGGGCCUUGCCCUCACACAGCCUCCUCUCCCUCCCCCAGGAUGAUUGGCGGGGUCCUCAUGGGCCUGCUCUUCGGGAAGAUUGGCUACUACCUGGUGCUGGGCUGGUGCUGCGUGGCCAUCUUUGUGUUCAUGUGUCCCCUUUUGCCGGGCGCGGUGGCUCAUGCUUGUAAUCCCAGCACUUUGGGAGGCCGAGGCGGUCGGAUCACGAGAUCCGGACCCUGCGGCUGAAGAUCUUGGCAGACGCAGCAGCUGAGGGGGUACCGGUGCGUGGGGCCCGGAACCAGCUGCGCAUGUACCUGACCAUGGCGGUGGCGGCGGCGCAGCCUAUGCUCAUGUACUGGCUCACCUUCCACCU